rnacentral:rRNA from 1 species
UACGUAGGGGGCAAGCGUUAUCCGGAUUUACUGGGUGUAAAGGGAGCGUAGACGGCAUGGCAAGCCAGAUGUGAAAUACCGGGGCUCAACCCCGGGACUGCAUUUGGAACUGUUAAGCUGGAGUGUCGGAGAGGCAGGCGGAAUUCCUAGUGUAGCGGUGAAAUGCGUAGAUAUUAGGAGGAACACCAGUGGCGAAGGCGGCCUGCUGGACAGUAACUGACGUUGAGGCUCGAAAGCGUGGGGAGCAAACAGG